AUGGCUUCAGGUUGGAUCGCAGCUGCGUUAACAGCCUCGGUGCUAAGUGCCCUGGGCAGAGCAGAGAUCCAGCAGCCCGUUUCCGCAGAGGCGGUGGAGGGAGAGAAAUUGACCCUCUCUUGCAAUCACCCUAACGUGACCACCGAGAAGAUAAUGUGGUACCGCCACGUCCCCAGCCAGGCACCGCGGCUUUUGGCAGGUGGAUUCAGGGGAGAGACUCCCGGCACCGAAGCGGGCAGCACUUUAUACAUCGCUCAGGACAAAGCGUCCAGUGUCUUUGAGUUCCGCGGGGUGCGGCUGGCGGACGCAGCGGUGUAUUAUUGUGCUCUGAGCAACACAGCGUGA